GACGGGGCCCGCACAAGCGGUGAGCAUGUGGUUUAAUUCGAUGCAACGCGAAGAACCUUACCUGGGCUUGACAUCCCGGGAAUCCCCUGGAAACAGGGGAGUGCCCUUCGGGGAACCCGGUGACAGGUGCUGCAUGGCUGUCGUCAGCUCGUGCCGUGAGAUGUUGGGUUAAGUCCCGCAACGAGCGCAACCCUUGUCUUUAAUUGCCAUCAUUUAGUUGGGCACUUUAAAGAGACUGCCGGUGUUAAGCCGGAGGAAGUGGGGAUGACGUCAAGUCCUCAUGGCCUUUAUGCCCAGGGCUACACACGUGCUACAAUGGGCGGUACAAAGGGUCGCGAACCCGCGAGGGGGGGCCAAUCCCAAAAAGCCGUCCACAGUUCGGAUUGGAGUCUGCAACUCGACUCCAUGAAGCCGGAAUCGCUAGUAAUCGUGGAUCAGCAUGCCACGGUGAAUACGUUCCCGGGCCUU
rnacentral:rRNA from 1 species